CAAACGGACCCAUCAGCAGUUCUAGAAUAAUCCGUCUUCAAUUUUUCACACCCCAAAUGCAAAAUUUAAAACUCACUCUAUGCCCAAACAUAUAAUUCUACAAGCUUCACGUCUUCCCUCCCUCUUGUUCCAACAACUAUGAAUCCAUUCGCAGGUCUUCAUGAUUUCAGGUUGUGCUUGCUACUCGAUUAUUCUCCAAAACAAAACAACCUUCAGUUCUCCUUCAACUUUCAAGAAUACUUAAGAAUGUCCUCUUUCAGCUCAUCACUGUUGGCGACAACAAAAGUGAGUUAUUUAAUUGGUACGUGACCGUUAGGAAUCAUGGUUAUGCAAGGCUUCCAUGCCUCCAACUCUUCCAUUUGGACUCACAUGGACGGUUUAAUAUAUUAAUCCUUCCAAUAUUAAUUCAAUGAUCAAGGUAAGUAGUCUAAUUCAUUUGUUGUGGUAUGUUAAAUGUUAUUUCUAACUUCAUCGUAAUUUCACAGCUAACAUAAUGACAGUUUAGAUAUUUUGUCUACCUUUAAUGAAUUAGAAACAACUAUUCCUUGUUGUUCUUGUUCUUGGUGAUAUUCUGAGGCCUAUAAAAGGAAGGAAUUUGAAACUUUUUAUUGAAAAAAUAGCCUUCGUUACUUUAAUGUGAUUUUUUUUUGGCUAUUUUCAGCAAAAUCUUUUAUUGAAAGUUCUCUUCUCACCCUUUUGUUUCAGGCAAAAGAUCUUAGAAAAAUAGAGAAAAUCUAGCAAAAUGUAGUGAACUAUAGUUUUCUUUCAACUUAAUUUCCUUAAACUUUUGGUUGCUAUGUUUUUUUCGUUUUUUAAUUUUCUUUGAAAGAUAUAUUGUGUGUAAAAUGUCUAUUAGGAUUAGAUAACAAUGAUUACGGAAUUCAUGUACAUUAGACUUAUUUUUGAAUAUUUUUAAAAAUCCCUUCAAAUAUAUUGUUAAUACCCAAUCUAAUAUUUUUUAUGGAUGAAUAAAAUAAACUCUUUUUUCAUCUCCUGUCAAUUUUUUUUCAUUCACUCUUCUUUGUAAAUAUAUUUGAUAAAAACAUCAUAGCUAUAGAUAAAUGAUAAUUUCAUAGUUAUAGAUGAUCAUGUUUUUGAAAUACUCUUUUCAAAGUUAUUGCAUUUAUUCUUUCUAAAUGUAGAACAAUUUGAUUUGUGUUAACCGUAUUGUUUGACUUAAUAGUAAUCAUCUUAGUAAAGAGAUGGUUCAAUGGUUUGUCCACUGUUUUGAUUCGAUAAGAAAGAAAUUUGAAUUUACAAUGUUUUUUGCCCAGUGUUGUGAAAAGCGCAGAAAAGCGCGCUUCAAAGCGAGGCGACCCUUGUGCGCUUUUUUAUCUUGAGGCGAGGCGAUCUGAAAAAAGCUCUCGCUUCAGAUGAAGAAGCGAGAAGCGACCCUAAGGCAAAAACACAAUAAAGCGCGCUUUUUAUAAAAAAAAAGCGACAAUUAGGAUUUUUUUUAAAAAAAAUCUGAAAUAUAACCUUCUCUCUCCUCACGACUCUUCUUUCACGACUCUUUCCCUUCUUUCUCUCCUCGCGACUCUUCUUUCACAAUACUUCUUUCCCUUCUUUCUCUCCUGACGAUCUCGACUGAGGCUGCCUCUCUCUUCAACCUCGACCGCGACUGUAGGUAACUUUUUGUUCAUCUCUUUUUUAGCUAAUGUUUAUUAGUUCAUCUCUAUGAGUUUCUUUUCUCAUGAAAUAUACAAUCUUUGUCUGUGCUUCAUCUCUUCAUCUCUCUGAGUUUCGACUACUCUAGUUUUUUCUUCUUCUUCUCUUCUUUUCUUCCUGCCUGCUCUGUUUCUAAUUACUGACUGCUGCCUCUGUUUUUUUUUCAAUUCUUUUGCUUUUUUUAUUUUAUUUUGUGAUCAGUCUAGCAGCCUUGUUGAAGAAUAGGAGUUUGAAUCGUUGUGAUUUAAUUAUGUUUUUGAUUUUUUGCUUUAUAUGUUAUGACUCAUGAGUAUUUUUGCCUAUGUAAUUUCGUUCAAUAUAAGACUAUUAGCUCUAUUUAGUUAUUUAAUUUUUUUACUUUUAUACUAAAUGUCGCUUUUUUUUAAAAAAGCGAGCGCUUCGCUUCACGCUUCUGUGAAGCAAGCCCUCGUCACUUUUUUCCGCUUCUCGCUUCCCAAAACACUGAUUUUGCCUUGACAAGAUGAACCAACCCCAGCCUUUUUACUCCCAGGCACACAAAGUUGUUGAUGGAUCUCUUCUUAGUCUCAGCUGAGAUCUUUGAUUGUAUGCAUUCACAGAGUCUGUCGAGAACAAGGUAUUUAUAAUUACAUGUAAGUUUGACCUAUGCACAACUAAUGUUUUCUUGAACAAAAAUAAGUAAGGGGGUGUUCAUUGAAAACUUCCAUCAUAUUUUUGCAUUAGUCUAUUAGUUUGAUUUUUUUUCCCACAAACUAUAUGAUUGUGAAUUUCUGAAAGCUGAAUGAAUAAUGAAUAACAGUUUCUUGUUUUUUUUUAUCACUUCUGUUAUGAUAAAUUGAUAAUAUGGAUGACAAUAUUAUUGUACAUAUUUCAGGUAAAAUCAAUAAAUCGAAUCAAAAGAUGUUAUUGAUUUAUCGAUAUUGUGUUUUUGAUGUAAUAGACUAAUAGUGCAGAACGAUUUAGCGUUAUUGGACUUUAGGGUUAUCGAUUUGUCCUAUUUCUCCUAGGAGUUGUUUGGUGUGAGGUAUAAGGAAUUUUAGGGAUAAAAUGCAUGCAUGAUUAUUUUAUCUUGCAUUUGGUUGGAUGUUCUGGACUACUUAUCCAACACUUUAUACCUUAGUGAUGAGAUAAGACUUGACUCGAGAUAAAUAAUUCUGGGAUAACUUCUUUCCAACCAAACGACCCUUAGCGGUUUAACCUAUAACCGGAUAAACUUAUUAUAAUAAAAAAUCCAUUAAAUUAUAAGUUAAUGCUUCCAAAUAAGCUAAUUAGACAUAGCUUUCUAAUGUUGCAAAGUUCUGUUUCACCUAUAAUUAGCAUCUACCAUAAAAAGCUUCUUAUAAUGAUAAGUUAGUACAUCUAACAUCUAGGAUACCAGUAACCUCGAUAAUUUUAAAAUCACUAUCCAAUAUUAAUUUGUAUGUAUCACUAUAUGAUCCAUUACUAAAUUAAUGAUAAGAAAUUCUUACAAAUUAUCUUUUGUGUGAGGUUAACAUAUAUGUGAGUUGAAGAGCUCACACUUUCUAUUACUGGACAACCAUCUUUUUAUCUUAGAAAUAUGGUGAUCUAUGGUGUAUUCUUGAUUCUUAUAUUAAUUCUACUGAUAUGCAAUAACUUCAGAGAAAUUUGAUGCCCUCAUUGCAUAACUUUGAAUUUUAGACAAAUGCUUAGUGAACACACUUAGCAUGUCAGUAGUUCAACAUUUUCGAGCUUACACAAGGCAUCCUUAAAUUUGAUGUUUUCUUGAUAACUAGCUCUUCUUUUAAAUUUGAUGUCAUUAGUUAAUACUUACUCAAUAGACUCAAGAUAAACUUUAUAAAUGGUUGGUCUGAGAUAACAAUUUGUGUAACUCCCUCCUAUUAAUGCUUCAUAAAUUACUGUAAGUUAAUUUAUUUGUGAUUUAAUUGUGAAUUGCUUCUACAUAUAUGGUCUAAGGCAUAAGUUCCUCGGCACGUAAUAACUUUCUGUUUCUACACCAAAUUAAGAUCAUCAGUGUCUUUAUGUCUAUCAUUUUCUCUGACAUGAUAUUUUAAUGGGUGCCUAGUUUUCAACAAGAACUAAAUUAGACUUCAUGUUCUUUUUGAUUUUUUUUUGAGGUAUCAUUUUGUGGGUUGCAGCAAAUUAUGACGAAUACUACUAUUUCCCAUUACAAAUUUGGUGCUCUUUUUAAAUGUGAUCAGAUUAUAUGAUGCUGAUAAUUUACCGAGCACAUAUAGCUUCGUGGAUUUAAGAGAUGCAUCUACAACAACUCUCUUCUCUAUUUCUUAUACAGCGGAAAUCAUGUGAGGGAAAACUUUAUUCGCAAAAAGGUUGAUCAAAGUAUGUCGAUUGUUCGGCAUAAGGACUGUUGAAGACAAAGCAGAUGGAGUAGAAAUAUUCACUCUUCAGUCCUAUGGAAAGUUUUGUUCAACUCAACAUUAUUUUUUAAUGAUGUAUUAUUUCAUUUAUAUUGCAAAAUUAUAUCUAUAAAUAUUUGAAUUUAUGUUGUCAAUAAAUGAUGUUAAUUUUGAAGGUACUCUCCUUGAUUGAGGGCUGAUAACAAUAUAUGAUUGUUAUUUGGUAUUGACGGUAUUUGCACAUUUAAGAAAUAGAUAUAGCAUUAUGUUCAUCUA